GGGGGAUUAGCUCAGCUGGGAGAGCGCGGGCUUUGCAAGCCUGAGGUCGUGGGUUCGAUCCCCAUAUCCUCCA
rnacentral:tRNA from 1 species